rnacentral:rRNA from 1 species
UGACCGCUGGCGGCGUGCCUCAUACAUGCAAGUCGAGCGAACAGACGAGGAGCUUGCUCCUCUGACGUUAGCGGCGGACGGGUGAGUAACACGUGGAUAACCUACCUAUAAGACUGGGAUAACUUCGGGAAACCGGAGCUAAUACCGGAUAAUAUAUUGAACCGCAUGGUUCAAUAGUGAAAGACGGUUUUGCUGUCACUUAUAGAUGGAUCCGCGCCGCAUUAGCUAGUUGGUAAGGUAACGGCUUACCAAGGCAACGAUGCGUAGCCGACCUGAGAGGGUGAUCGGCCACACUGGAACUGAGACACGGUCCAGACUCCUACGGGAGGCAGCAGUAGGGAAUCUUCCGCAAUGGGCGAAAGCCUGACGGAGCAACGCCGCGUGAGUGAUGAAGGUCUUCGGAUCGUAAAACUCUGUUAUUAGGGAAGAACAAAUGUGUAAGUAACUAUGCACGUCUUGACGGUACCUAAUCAGAAAGCCACGGCUAACUACGUG